rnacentral:tRNA from 1 species
CUCUGUAUAGCUCAGUUUGGUAGAGCGCGUGCCUUGGGAGCAUGAGGUCGGGGGUUCAAGUCCCUCUACAGAGACCA